rnacentral:rRNA from 1 species
GAUGAACGCUGGCGGCGUGCUUAACACAUGCAAGUCGAACGGUGACGCUCCAGCUUGCUGGAGUGGCUCAGUGGCGAACAGGUGAGUAACACGUGAGCAACCUGCCCCUGACUCUGGGAUAACAGCCGGAAACGGCUGCUACUACCGGAUAUGCACCAUGCACCCAUUUUCUGUGGUGGGUCAUCUUUUUCGGUUGGGGAUGGGCUCGCGGCCUAUCAGCUUGUUGGUGAGGUAAUGGCUCACCAAGGCGUCGACGGGUAGCCGGCCUGAGAGGGUGACCGGGCACACUGGGACUGAGACACGGCCCAGACUCCUACGGGAGGCAGCAGUGGGGAAUAUUGCACAAUGGGCGAAAGCCUGAUGCAGCAACGCCGCGUGAGGGAUGACGGCCUUCGGGUUGUAAACCGCUGUUAGCAGGGAAGAAGCGAGAGUGACGGUACCUGCAGAAAAAGCGCCGGCUAACUACGUG